GGAGAACCUGAAACUUGCACCACUAGCAACUGUUCGUGUUCCCUCUCGACUUCACUAAAAUCUACCGCUAUAGUGCCCUUGAGCAACGCACCGACUGCAUCCGUACUGGACUGCUCCCAGUUUCCCACAGCGCAACGCGGGGCCUCCACUGGUCCGCACUGCCGCAAAAAAACAACAACAGAGAAGGCUUUAAAGUUCCUUCAACUGCACUCAAUGUGGCCUGUUUCCCACGGCUCUAUAUCAGGACAUCACACACACUUUUCUCUCUCUCUCUCUCACACACACACACACACACACACACACACACACACACACACACACACACACACACACACACACACACACACACACACACACACACACACACACACACACACACACACACAGAGAAUGGUAUUUUUAGGCCUAUGAAUUGAAGCUAUAAAUCAGAUCCAGAGAAAAAAGAAGCAAUGAGUGAAUCCAGACAGCAAGUUGAGAUGUUUCUCUCUCCACACACACACACACACACACACACACACUCACACUCUAAGGGGGCAGACUUUACCAGAAAACUUAAUUAUGAGAACAUUUUUUCUUCUAAUUCCUCAUUUCUCCAUUUGUCUCAACAAUGCCUUCAAAGCUAAAUUAUAUCAUACUAACACACUUAGAAGCUUUAUAUCAUAUAUUCUAAUUUUAUAAUAAGCUGUUAUUUUUGGGGUGUUUUCCACUUUUUGUAUCAACCUUUGUGCCAAUACUCUCCUUGUUGACGAUGAAGGAAAAAGCGUACAAACCAUGGAAUAAUGGUUCUACUACUUGAUUUCCUUGCAGACUUUUAGUUUUAAUGUCAUCUUUCAUGCUCAACUAGAUGCUGUAAAUAAACCACACACAGCCCUUAUGUGUGUUUUGUGUGUGUGUGUGUGUGUGUGUGUGUGUGUCUCGCCAGGGUACAUAAUUAGCCCAGAGGAUUCACACUGUGACAUCAAUUACAGGAGCCUGUGUGUGUGUGUGUGUGUGUGUGUGUGUGUGUGUGUGUGUGUGUGUGUGUGUGUGUGUGUGUGUGUGUGUGUGUGUGUGCGGGGGCCCUUAAGGGAUGCCAGCUCAGACAGUGAUUCUGCAGUGAAAAUGCAAAAACAAAGGGAAUUAAAAAAUCUUCAAAUGACAGAAAAUCCCGGAAGAUUAUUUUGUUUUUCUAAAAUCAGUGUAAAUGAUUCUGUCUCACUUUAA
rnacentral:lncRNA from 1 species